UAGAUUGAUGUAACUGCUCAUUCCCAAUAGGAUAGGCAUGAGAUGAAUCAGGUGCUUCUUCACGUUGUAUUAUAGUAGAGAAACCUAACUGUGGUUUACUG